rnacentral:lncRNA from 10 species
GCCGGGUGUGGUGGCUCACACCUGUAAUCCCAACACUUUGGGAGGCUGAGGCAGGCAGGUGGUUUGAGUCCAUGAGUUUGAGACCAGCCUGGGACAAUAUGAUGAGACCUCAUCUCUACAAAAUAUUAGCUGGGCAUGGUGGGUGGACACCUGCAGUUCCUGCUACUUGGGAGGCUGAGGUGGGAGGAUCACCUGAACCCAGGAAGUGGAGGUUGUAGUGAGCAGAGAUAACACCACUGCUCUCCAGCCUGGGCGACAAAGUGAGACCCUGUCU